rnacentral:tRNA from 2 species
AGACACGUAGCUCAGGGGUAGAGCACUACCUUGACACGGUAGGGGUCGGCGGUUCAAAUCCGCCCGUGUCUACCA